GAGGAUUAACUUUUGUGAAGUGAACUUGUGAUUUUAGGUUGAAAAUUGAGGGAUUUAAGCUUUGCAUGAAAACGUCCAUGGAGGAAAGAUGAAGAACCCAUUUCGGCCAUGGGAGAAAAUGAAGAAGAAGAAAUGAAGUUAGUGGAUUUAACUUGUCAUCUUAUGCUUUUAUACCUCCACUAACAAUUUAAAUAUUAAUUAUAAUGAUUAAACUUUCAUAAUUCUAAUUAUACCCCCUCAUUUCUCUUUAAUUACAUUACACAUGUAAUUUCAUA
rnacentral:misc_RNA from 1 species